GACGAACGCUGGCGGCGUGCCUAAUACAUGCAAGUCGAGCGGAAGUUGGAGAGCUUGCUCUUCAACUUUAGCGGCGGACGGGGGAGUAACACGUGGGCAACCUGCCCUGCAGAUCGGGAUAACUCCGGGAAACCGGUGCUAAUACCGAAUUGUUUUCGCAACCUCCUGGUGGCGUACGGAAAGACGGUUUCGGCUGUCACUGCAGGAUGGGCCCGCGGCGCAUUAGCUAGUUGGUGGGGUAACAGCCCACCAAGGCGACGAUGCGUAGCCGACCUGGGAGGGUGAUCGGCCACACUGGGACUGAGACACGGCCCAGACUCCUACGGGAGGCAGCAGUAGGGAAUCUUCCGCAAUGGACGAAAGUCUGACGGAGCAACGCCGCGUGAGUGACGAAGGUUUUCGGAUCGUAAAACUCUGUUGUGAGGGAAGAACAAGUACCAACUAACUACUGGUACCUUGACGGUACCUCACCAGAAAGCCACGGCUAACUACGUGCCAGCAGCCGCAGUAAAAC
rnacentral:rRNA from 1 species